GAUGAACGCUGGCGGCGUGCCUAAUACAUGCCAGUCGAGCGAACGGACGAGAAGCUUGCUUCUCUGAUGUUAGCGGCGGACGGGUGAGUAACACGUGGAUAAACUACCUAUAAGACUGGGAUAACUUCGGGAAACCGGAGCUAAUACCGGAUAAUAUUUUGAACCGCAUGGUUCAAAAGUGAAAGACGGUCUUGCUGUCACUUAUAGAUGGAUCCGCGCUGCAUUAGCUAGUUGGUAAGGUAACGGCUUACCAAGGCAACGAUGCAUAGCCGACCUGAGAGGGUGAUCGGCCACACUGGAACUGAGACACGGUCCAGACUCCUACGGGAGGCAGCAGUAGGGAAUCUUCCGCAAUGGGCGAAAGCCUGACGGAGCAACGCCGCGUGAGUGAUGAAGGUCUUCGGAUCGUAAAACUCUGUUAUUAGGGAAGAACAUAUGUGUAAGUAACUGUGCACAUCUUGACGGUACCUAAUCAGAAAGCCACGGCUAACUACGUG
rnacentral:rRNA from 1 species